UGCACCAGCCCCGCGCCCGCGCCACCAGCGGGAAGCGGCGAGCGGGCAACGCGGGCUCCAGCACAGGAAGCGGCGGCGAGAGGGGCGGCCUGGGAGCUCGGGCUGCCCUGGGAAGCGAGGCCGCAGCGCAGAGACCGGAAAGAGGAACGUCUCCCGGAGCGGCGAGCUGUUCUCGCGUCCCCGCCGCGCACCGCCUCUGAGGAGCGGCCCCGCGGUGCCACCUCAGCCCCGCGCCUCCGCCGAGACCCCGCACCGCAGCGGGAGCAGCUGCGGCUCCGCGCGGCGGGCGCACUCACCUCCUCCGCUACCCGGGCCGCUCCGCCGGCGGCUGUCACUGCAGUCCACUCCCAGCCCAGCGCCGGGUCCUGGUGCUAUUUAAAGAGUCACCGCCGCCACUGCCCACUGGCUGCGCCCCCUCGGCUGCCGCGGCCGAACUAGGCGGCUGUGAGUGCGCGUGCCGCGCCCGCCCCGCCCCGCCCCGCCUCGCAAGCCCGGCCCCCUCCUCCAGGCCCCGCCCCCGCCGGGCGCGUGCGUUGCUAGCGGGUGGCGGGCAAAAGCGGCUGGAGUCACCCGAACUGCCCUCGGGUUUCACAACGGAAUCUGAGGAAGGGCAAAGGGUAAAUCGUAGCGCCCCAGCCCCAAAGGCCCGGAGACUGCGAGUCUGCGAUGCCUUGAGUGUAACGGGCAAAUGCCAGUCCACAUCUGCCUGCGACCAGAAGCUCACAUCUUUGCCUUGUGAAGGUCUUGAACAACCUUGGGAAUCUGAUGAAAGGAUGUUGCCAGUGAAACUGUAAUAACUGCCACGGGGCUGGAUACAGCUGGACGCUGUUGCCACAAGCAGAUUCCAGCCCUCCCUCAUCUCUGUUACUGUCAUUCAGAGAUAGGCACUGUGCUGAAUUCUAUGAACUGAAUCAACAAAAACAGACCGUCCCUGCGCUCACUGAGUUUGACAUCUAGACAUCUGUGCAGUAGAAAGUGAGUCUCCUGUGAGGAAUCAACAUGGAUGUUUCUUUCAUUAACAAGUAUCAUGAGUCUGAGUACUCCCUUUUGGCUCCUGCAGCUGCAGAUAUCCCCUGCAGGAACAUCAGCUCUCCAGGAUUGGAUGGCUGUGGUCAUCUAUUCUUCUAGGAAGCAGCAGCCCAGAUCCUGAGUGAAGGAGAGGAAGGUGGAUGGAAUGGAAGCUUCUUCAGCUCUUGUGCAGUCUAAGACAAGUUCAGCAAGGUGGAUGGAUCUUGCUCUGUUGCUGAGGCUGGCCUACAACUCUCCAUCCUCCUGCCUCGUGAGUCUAUGGGAUUACAGGCAUGUGCCACUGUGUCCAGGUCAGAUCCUUGCUUUCUUGGUCCUGAAAUAGUAUCUAUCUUAUAGUGUUGUGUAGAAUGAAAUGAAAUUUUGUGAUAGUGUGUUAUACAACGUUAACAGGAGUGCUCAUGUAAUAAAAACCAACAAAGCACAAUUAUUAAAGAUGAAUUACAGGAA